UACGUAGGGGGCGAGCGUUGUCCGGAUUUAUUGGGCGUAAAGAGCGUGUAGGCGGCCAGGUAGGUCUGCUGUGAAAACUCGAGGCUCAACCUCGAGACGUCGGCGGAAACCAUCUGGCUAGAGUCCGGAAGAGGAGAGUGGAAUUCCUGGUGUAGCGGUGGAAUGCGUAGAGAUCCGGAGGAAGACCGGUGGCGAAGGCGGCCUGCUGGGCAGUUACUGACACUGAUGCGCGACAGCGUGGGGAGCAAACAGG
rnacentral:rRNA from 1 species